AAUUUAUAAAAAAAAAACUAUAUAAUAGAACUAUGAAAUUCUCAAUGAACAGCAAAUUGGGCAUUGAUGUAGAGUAUUAAAUAUAAAUUUACAGCAUUCAUUGCAGAAUUGAGUGCUGCAAUUUGUACAUAAAUAUUUGUUAAUUAUAUUCGAUCUUGACCCAGAGUUCAAAUAUACAUUAUUAGAGAACUGGCUCUCACAUAAUUCGCACUUUGUUUUUAUAGAACUGGACUCAAUCUUUGAAUAUUCCCCAUUUUUAAUAGGAGUAAUAUCUGGGUGCUGAAAUAAAUAUGCGAAUGAUUUUGCAAGGUGAUUUGGGGAAAUAAGAUAUAUCAAGCAAACCGGACAUUUUGUCGGUAAGUAACAAACAAUUGAUUUACACUUCGGGCAAGAAUACCCACGAUGAGUUAAGGACCUGUGACAUGAGCAACCGAAAGGAUGCGUUUGAUUGCUUACAUAUUCAGGAAAUCCCAUUGUAACCAAGUUAAUGUUCAAUGGGGUGCUCGCAAUGUUAUUUGGAGGCGGCUUGAUGAAAUUUUCAAGGGUCAACUUAAGUAAGUGGUCAUUAUUCAUUGCGCAUAAACAAACACCCCCUGUCAUCUUUGUAAUUGUCUUAAUUAUAUAUAAUUCUGGGAUGAAGAGUAUUGCAUUAAUUAUGAUAUUAUUAGAAGAAAAACCUUCUACCCAUUCGUUGAAUAAAAAAGAAUUAUCUACACUUCUCAUGCUUCCUAGAAAAAAAAUAAUUUCUUUUGUACCAUACGGAGGGAUUGAAACUAGUAGAUACUUAGCCUUCUCAAGCCCAUUUUGAAUAGACAUGCUUCCCUUACAUCCCUUUUUCAAAUAAUUCAAAAUACUCGUCAUAAUUUCAAGAAAAUUAGAAUUGUAGCUUAUUAUUACUUCGCCAAUGCCGUCGUAAAUAGAAAUAACCGAGAUUUGAGUUAGAGGAUUAUCUUCUAAUAGCUGUUUAAUGAAAAUUUCAUUGCAUUUAACCAUGCACUGUAGUCUGUCAGGCUUGUAAUCAAGCUCCAGCAUAUUAGAAGUCAUAUCUAAAAUAAUUACAAUAUUUCUGAGUAGACCACGCCUAAUAUUUGUAUUUGGGCCACGCUUCAACAACUCAAUAUUAUAGCUUUCGUCUGCAUUAUUCGAAUCAAAGCGAGUCUCAUCAUCAAUUACAACAAGCCCACUCUCUGUUUCAACCAAUCUCUCCCAAUUUUUUAUAAGGCCUUGUUCCCAUGAAUAUACAACUUCUUGCUCAUCCAGUGAGUUAUUUGAAGUAUCUGCCAAUUUCUCUGCAAAAUCCAUUGAUUUCAAGAGAAAACCUAUUUAUAUCCCAAACUAUACAAAGGAUACUUCAAAUUUAGUUCAUUACCUGAUUAUGAAAUAAUAACAAUCUCAAGAUCAAAUCGUUUAUUAUUUAAUGGUUACUUAUUAUCCCGUUCUUUAUUCGAUUCGAAAAAAAAAAGCGCUUAGCAUUUUUUAAACAUAAUUAGCGAGUAC
rnacentral:antisense_RNA from 1 species